rnacentral:misc_RNA from 1 species
GGAAGGAUCAUUGAAUCUAUCAAUACCAACACUGUGAACCAUUUUGUCUGGCCCAUCGAACCUAGUUCGAUGCUUCCUGGGUGGCUUUAAUUAGCUGCUUGGGUUGGGUCCGAAACUUGUUUCGGGCCGGCCCUUACUAACUUUAACACCAAACAAACAAACCUAAAGCAAUAAGUGUAUUCGGCCUAGCCGAUGCAUCCAAACUAAGACAACUCUCAACAACGGAUAUCUUGGCUCUCGCAACGAUGAAGAACGCAGCGAAAUGCGAUACGUAGUGUGAAUUGCAGAAUUCCGUGAACCAUCGAAUCUUUGAACGCAUAUUGCGCUCGAGGCUUCGGCCAAGAGCAUGUCUGCCUCAGCGUCGGGUUAAUAUCACUCAACCAAUCCCUUGGGAUUAAUCGAGUGGACCUGGCUGUUCCAGAGGUUGCUCGAACUUCGGUUCGACCAAAGCUGGAUCAGCUGAAGAUCAGAGGUUAGCUCAAGGACCCGUUAAGGGCCGCAAUUGGGUAGGCAGUUUUCUGCUUCUAAUUGUUGGCUUGGGACCAUUUGCUCGACCCUCAAUCAGGAAUUAACCUUAUUUUCUCGACCUGAGCUCAGGCAAGAACACCCGCUGAACUUAAGCAUAUCAAUAAGCGGAGGAAAAGAAACUAACAAGGAUUCCCUUAGUAACGGCGAGUGAAACGGGAAUAGCCCAACUUGAAAAUCUCCCUUUGGAGAAUUGUAGUCUAUAGAAGCGCCCUCUGUGGCGGCCGGAGCCCAAGUCCACUGGAAAGUGGCGUCAGAGAGGGUGAGAACCCCGUCGGCUCUAGGCUUAGCUGCUCCACGAGGUGCUUUCCACGAGUCGGGUUGUUUGAGAAUGCAGCCCAAAAUUGGAGGUAAAUCCCUUCUAAGGCUAAAUAUUGGCGAGAGACCGAUAGCGAACAAGUACCGUGAGGGAAAGAUGAAAAGAACUUUGAAAAGAGAGUUAAAAAGUGCUUGAAAUUGUUGAGAGGGAAGCGAUUAGAGGCUGUGGGUGCGCCUAGGCUUAUGUGUCUCUAACGAGCCGCUGUAUGUGCUAGGUGCUGGUCAGCAUGGGUUAGCCUGGCGGGAUAAAAGCGGGGGUUGAUACCUCGUCUAUGCCGCCGGGUUGACCAAGGUGUGAAUGGCGCUCUGUCCUUCGGGAACUGCGUCAUCAAGAUGCUGGCAGAAGGUUUCUAAUCGGCCCGUCUUGAAACACGGACCAAGGAGUCUAACAUGUAUGCGAGUUGGUGGGUGGUAAACCCAUGAAGCGCAAGUAACCUGACUGGUGGGAUGGCCUGUGCCUGCACCAUCGACCGACCAUGAUCUUCUGUGAAAGGUUUGAGUGCGAGCAUACCUGUUGGGACCCGAAAGAUGGUGAACUAUGCCUGAGCAGGGUGAAGCCAGAGGAAACUCUGGUGGAGGCUCGUAGAUGUGCUGACGUGCAAAUCGCUUUUCGGACUUGGGUAUAGGGGCGAAAGACUAAUCGAACCAUCUAGUAGCUGGUUCCCUC